rnacentral:rRNA from 1 species
AUACGUAGGGGGCGAGCGUUGUUCGGAAUGACUGGGCGUAAAGGGCGCGUAGGCGGCCGAUCAAGUUGGGAGUGAAAUUCCUGCUUUCAGGGUGGGAACUGCUUUCAAAACUGGUUGGCUUGAGUGCGGAAGAGGUAAGUGGAAUUCCCAGUGUAGCGGUGAAAUGCGUAGAGAUUGGGAGGAACACCAGUGGCGAAGGCGACUUACUGGGCCGUAACUGACGCUGAGGCGCGAAAGCGUGGGGAGC